rnacentral:rRNA from 1 species
CCUACGGGAGGCAGCAGUGAGGAAUAUUGGUCAAUGGUCGGGAGACUGAACCAGCCAAGCCGCGUGAGGGAUGAAGGUACAGAGUAUCGUAAACCUCUUUUGUCAGGGAACAAAGGCGGGGACGUGUCCCCGGAUGAGUGUACCUGAAGAAAAAGCAUCGGCUAACGCCGUGCCAGCAGCCGCGGUAAUACGGAGGAGGCUAGCGUUAUCCGGAUUUAUGGGGGUUAAAGGGUGCGCAGGCGGGCUGUUAAGGCAGCGGUAAAAGCCCGGGGCUCAACCCCGGCCCGCCGUUGAAACUGGCAGUCUCGAGUUGGAGAGAAGUAUGCGGAAUGCGCGGGGUAGCGGUGAAAGGCAUAGAUAUCGCGCAGAACUCCGAGUGCGAAGGCAGCAUGCCGGCUCCACACUGACGCUGAGGCACGAAAGCGUGGGUAUCGAACAGGAUUAGAUACCCUUGUAGUC